ensembl:lncRNA
CGAGUCGGAGGUCAGAAAAAGUGCGGUGUUGAAAAACUGGAGCUCAUUUGCUUCAGCAAGAGGCUGCGCUGGAGAGUGGACCUUGUCACAUGUGAGCCACCCACAUCAACAGGAUGGGAACUCAUGUGGAGUGCAUGUCAUAAUGUUUGCCCAAUCUCUCAUUGACGGUAAAACACAAGUGGAGGAGUACAACACUGAAAUCACAAAGCUCAGGUCCCGACUUUGCCACUACUUAUUUUCCUCAAUAGAUCGAACUAGGAAGUGCAGUCAGUGCUGGUGUGUGAUUGCAGCCAAAGACCGGGUACACUAUGACAUGUCCUUAGCCAUAUAGAUUGUUUAUUUAAUGGACUUUGUUCAUUUGUUUUUUGUUUGUUUAUUUCUUCUUCUUUUUUUUUUUUUUUUUAAUUCACAGGUGCAGUGCCAGAAAUGUGGUGCAUACAAGCACAUGCGUUGUUCAAAGUCUGUUUGUGGCAUCUGUGUCUUCUGUGAGAGUAAGUCACAAUAUAACUAAACAAUGUCCAAAAAUGUUUAAAGUGAAAUUUUUUUUCGUAAUUUUGCCUUUGCACACCAGGACUGUGUAAUUAAAGUGGACGUUUCAAGAUCCAGUUUUUACACAAAACUAUUUUAGACAUAACUGUGUCGUAUUGUGGGGAUUUCUCUUCACAAUUAAAUUGAUAUAGUGCUGUUUAUAUCAUUCUUCUUUAUGUAACAGCACAGUGCAGCACAGCAGAGGGAAAGGAGUUGUGCAGCAUAGUAGGUGACUAUACAGGAGGAGCAAUAGAAGUAGCCAGUGAAGAAUGUCAUCAGGGAAAGCAUCAGGCAGCGAAUGACAAAGGAAAAGUUCCUAAGGGAGAGAACAUCUGCAGCAAAUCGACAAGUAACAGUGAGAUAGGAAGACUGACAGUCAGAGAUGAAGGUACACAGACUGAAGACAACGAAAAAGAAGCAGAAGUAUACGGCACAAGUCUGAGUACAGAUAAUGCUGCUGCUGAUGAUGUUGACAGGAUCGAUGCAGAUACAGAAUUCCAAACUGAUUCAGAAGGAACUAGUACAGUUUACAGAGUGCAUGGUCGCUUAUCUGUACCAAGCUCAAAAAAGAAAACCUACACAAUAACAGAAGACGAGAUCAAGCGCAGAAUCAACGCAGAGAACAUGUCAGUUCAUGUUUUCAGAGGUUUGAUUGGGGGCCGUAAAGCCAAACUGCCCGCAAUGAUUCUUGACAGGCCUAAGAAGGCCAAAACUAAAGUAACAGUGUUUAGUGUUCUGAGUGAAGAGGAGGCUGGGGAGCUAGCCCUCGGGUUUGCCGGAAGAUUGGCCUGCGAUGUCACAACAGACAUGGUCUGUAAAGGCAUCGACCAUUCAAGUGCUGAUAUGACAAAACAGACUCUUCUCAAAAUCCAACACAACCUUAAACAUGAGCUGACUGAUUCCUCAACCUUCAGUUUGCUGACACACACCUUUGGCCCCGCUGCACUGGAUUCUGUCAUUUCAUUCCUGUGUGAAAAACUUGAUCUUGUCUCUUAAAUAAUGAAACCUUUUGUGACUUUUGUUUGUUCUGUAAAUCAGAAUCUUGAAAAUUGUUCAUUGUUGUUCUAAGUUUGUGUUAACUAUUUGGCAAAAAUGAUUGGUUCCUAAUCCAAACAGCAUAAUGACUGUUCUAACACAUAUCUUAAAAAUGCUAC